AUGGACACUUCCCACGCCACAUAUUGGUCCUCUGAUCCGUUUCGCCUCUCCUCUUCAGAAGAAGAGGAGGAAAUCCCUUACAGAAUCACCCACCAACCAAAGACCAAGCGGCGUGGUAAACAGCAGCGACGACAGCAGCAGCAGCAGCAGAAACAACAGCAACAACAGCGGCCAGCAUCACAGGACUCCUGGACAUGGGAGGAGAUACUGAACGGAGAGGGACCCUGGGCAAAGGCUGGGGAACAUCACCGCCCGAAAGCUGAGCGGGGGCGAGAUGAGGAGGCAGCACGGCAGUGCGACAGGUACGAGAGGCAGCCCCCCAAAUCUUUUUUGGGGGGGCAGACGAGGUGUGGUACUAAGCCAGGUAGCAGACCUGAGCUCACUCCUCGUGCUUAUGAUAAGCAGCGCAUUACUGGUCAGGCACCGUGUUAUGCGGUUAAGCGCACGGUGUCGCCAGUGCGUGUCCCUAGCCCGGUGCGCUAUAGGGCAGCCCCCCGAAAGUGCCAUGCGAGUGUGUGCAUUGAGCCAGGGCGUAUGGUGCCUGCUCAGCGGGUCUGGUCGCCGGUACGCAGUUUUGGUCCAGGUUAUCCUGCGCCGGCUCUGCGUGCUGUGUCUCCGGGGCGCUGGGAGGGUGCAGUGCGUCCUCUGCCUGCACUCCGCUCGUGCCGGGCAAAUGUGGGAGUGGAGCCUAGGGGAGAGGUGCGUGUAGUGAGCACUAGAUCUCCCGUGCUUAUCCACAGCCCUGUUCAACCUGUGCCUGCACUCUGGAGGGUCCGGGCUAGAGUAGUUGUCCAGCCUGGGGAAGUGGUGCCAAGGUUGCGCACCAGAGCUCCAGUGCUCCCCCACAGCCCGGUCCUUCAGGUGCCUCCUCCUAACACCAAGCCUCCUGAAGGUCUCCCCAGCCUGGUGGUUCCUGUGGCAGCCCCACACACCAGGCUGUCUCUCAGUCUCCUCCCUGCAGGUGGUCCCGCCUGUCCGGCGCUGCUGCCGGAGCCUCCCGCCUGUCCGGAGCCUCCCGCCUGUCCGGAGCCUCCCGCCUGUCCGGAGCCUCCCGCCUGUCCGGCGCCGCUGCCGGAGCCUCCCGCCUGUCCGGCGCCGCUGCCGGAGCCUCCCGCCUGUCCGGCGCCGCUGCCGGAGUCUGAGGCGCCAGAGCCCCUCAGCCCAGAGGCGCCAGAGCUUCUGUCCAGAGCUUCUGCCCCUCUGUCCAGAGCUUCUGCCCCUCUGUCCAGAGCUUCUGCCCCUCUGUCCAGAGCUUCUGCCCCUCUGUCCAGAGCUUCUGCCCCUCUGUCCAGAGCUUCUGCCCCUCUGUCCAGUGGGGUCAUUGAGAGGGGUGGCCAUGGUGAGAGCCACGGAGGCGGACAAUAA
ensembl:lncRNA